rnacentral:rRNA from 1 species
UACGUAGGGCGCAAGCGUUAUCCGGAAUUAUUGGGCGUAAAGAGCUCGUAGGCGGUUUGUCGCGUCGGGAGUGAAAAUCCAGGGCUUAACUCUGGACUGGCUUCCGAUACGGGCAGACUAGAGGUAUGCAGGGGAGAACGGAAUUCCUGGUGUAGCGGUGAAAUGCGCAGAUAUCAGGAGGAACACCAAUGGCGAAGGCAGCUCGCUGGGACGUGACUGACGCUGAGACGCGAAAGCGUGGGGAGCAAACAGG